AGAGAUAGUUAAGGUGGCGUUCUCCUAGCAACCGCCGCUUGGGAAAUUAAAAUAGAAACUCCGCAGCGGUUUUUCAUUGAACCAGACUUGAGACGGUCUAAAUAACUCGCCCGUCAACUUUCAUAUGAGAUGUUAAAAGCCAAAUACUCUCAAGACGUACUCCUGCAUUCGCUUGCCUCCCGCGUUCAACAAUAUUUUGUUGCAGAGAAACCAAAGAAUAGUUUUGACGAAGAAGGGAAGGAUCUCUCUCUCUCUUAAAAUCUUCUUCUCAAUAGUUACAGCGAUGAAGGGCAUCAUCAUCAUCUUCUCUCAUUUUAGGGCAUAGACCGGUGAAGGAAGACAGACAUAGUAAUUUAGUCGCAGGUAUUCGUUACAGGAGCUUGGUCUUGUUUUCAAGUUUGUGAAGAUGGUCCCUGUUUCACCAUUGAAGACAACACAGGGUCAUCCUAUUGCAAGAGCAUUUCUGUUCAAAUGAUUUUAGGGUUAGGGUCUUGGAUUUUGGGGGUUCCAUUGACCAAUAGAAUGCGUGAUAUCUAUUUGAAACUGCAAUUUUGUUGUUUUUUAAGAGGAUUCAUUGAACCGAUGAAAAUCAUCUCACCUUCGUUCUAUUGUUGUUUAAAGACCUCUUGCAUAUCUCCAUUACCUACGGAUUCUUUGUUGGCCUCUAGGGAGCUACUGACAGUAAUCACGACAACCAUUUUAGCCAGUAUGAGUAAUGUACUCAUAUUGCUAAUCCAAGUUUGGAUUCCCCAUUUCAUUUUCCAUUCUUCUCAUUUUUAUCUUAUUUUAUUUUGUAUAGUUAUUUUUUGGUUUAGCCUCUGCUUAACCUUGUUUUAAUGAUAAUCAAUGACAAUGAAUUGCAUCCUGUUGAACCCUGAUUCGGUUUUGUCAAUUUAGCCUCUGCUUAACCUAGUUUUAAUGGUAAUCAAUGGCAAUGACUUGCACCCUAUUUAACCCUGAUUCAAUUUUGUUAAUCACAUGAUAAUUAUCUGUUUUUUUUGUGUUUAAUCUAAAUGAAAUUAGUUAGUACUGUUAUUUUUUUGGGAAUUUUUUGAGAACUUUGAGAAGUUUUUUGCAAUCUAAUGGAAGUGGACAUCCUUAUUUAAUAUCAUCUGGGACAGUCUGAUUUAAGAAGAUUGAGAUAAUAGAUUUCUUCUUUGGUAGCUUCUACUUCUAAGUGGCUUGCAAUCUAGCAUUCAUUUACUUAUGAAUUUAGAAAUGUUUAAUGGAUGUUUAUCAAUAGAUUCCAAUCCAAAAUUUUCAACAAUGAUCAAAUUUGAAACACUUCUUGAUCAACAACCUAGACCCCCAUAUUAGAUACUUUUUGACGUGUCUAUCUUAUUUGUUGUUGCUUCCUAUGGUCAGUCUCUUCCAUCAUGAAGUUAUAGGUCUUUAGAGUGUCAACUCUCUCGGUAGUAAGUUGUAAAAUCCAAUAUCAAGUUGCAAAGAGUGGCUUUGAGGUGAGAUGUUAGCUAUGAUUUCUAAGUCAGGUGCUUUAUUAUUCUUAGGGGCUAUAGAUAUGCUGAUUUUAAUGGUAUUGUAGAGGUUUUCCAAAUGACUUUUGGUAGUUUGAGGCGAUAUGUUUGACUUAUCCAUAAACCCAUGAGAUAUAUUUGCAACCCAUUGCAAUCAAUAGUUUUUCAGCUUCGAUAUGGGUUAUAAUCAUUUUUAUAUUGUUUUGAAUAUAUCCUUUGAUGAUUUUGGCAUUUCUUGCCACUCAAUUUGAUUAAAGGUUACAUUAUGAGGGCACUUGGGUGCUUGAAGAUCUUGACUUUUGUUUGGGAAUUGGACCCACUAUUAUAGGGUAAAUUUAGGUUGGAUUUUUUAUUUGAUUUAGAGACUUGAACUCAAUUGAUAAUUCACAAUCUAUUUUAUCUAAAAGAAUGUGACCCACACCAAGAUAUUGAAAACUUUUCUGCUGGAUAUUUUUUUUUUUGUCUUAGUUAGGAUAUUAAAUUGGAUUAGAUUUGUUAGCGAGAGAUAUAACUUAUGAGGUAGCUUUGUAAUCUGGAUUAAAAUUUAUUUGUUUCUUAGGCUUAGUUUGGAAGGAGUACAAAUACAUAUAUGCAAAGUGUAAAACCUUGUAUUUUGUAUAUAUUUGUAUUGUACAUAUUUGUAUAUGUGCUCUUUCCAAACCGAGCCUUAAAGUUUUGGCUCAUCGAAGAAAAAACUAGCUCAAUUAUACUUUGCAUGAAAAUUUUGAAGGAUUAUCAUUUGCUGGUGCUAGCCAUAUUUCUUAGUAAGACAAGUUCUACCUUCUAUAAAUCUUGCUUUAGUACUGAUAAUGUAUGCUCUGUAGCUGAGAAGAAUGCUACAAUGAGCAUGGGUGUUGGAUGGGAAUGAUUUGAGUUCAACAAGGAUGCCCCACUUGAUGAGGAAAUUGAAGGAAUGCUCGUAUAAUAUAGAUUCUUUAUCACUCAAAGGCAACAA